rnacentral:lncRNA from 1 species
UCACAGCCCGAAUAUUUCCCCUUCUCGCACGAAGGUUCAAUGGCCCAGGAAGCCUCCAGAGUUCGCUACAAAGCAAGAGAGGAUUCUAGAACAUUCUAGAAUCAUCUGGAAACAUCUGGAACAUUUUAGAAUAAUCUAGAAUGCAUGUAUAAUGUGUAGAUAAGUAUGGAAGUGUGUAGAACAUUCUAGAUACUUAAUCUUAGCCAUUAGAUCGAAUGAAUCAUCACCGUCCAUUGAGGAGGUGGAGGCCUAUAUAUAGCUUAGAGAAUUCAUUUGUAAGUAUCAAGCUAAAAACAAGCAAUAAGCUACAUCAAGUAAAUAUUCAGAGUUUCUCUCUCUAGAAAUCCUCUCUCUAAGCUUUCUUAAGCUUCCUUUUGUUCUUCUUGCCAUCCUAGCUAGCAUUUUGCCUAGCAUAAGGAAGAGUAGGCUGACUAGCUGACUUGUUUCCGCGAGAAAGUAGCUAGUGCCGCACGGUUCGUUGGUAGAAAACACUAAGCCCGUGACAGUUGGUAUCAGAGCAAGGUUAGACAAUCGUUGAAAUGGCAAAGACAUCAGGAGCAAGUGAGGCUGCUAGAGUUCCGGAAGAGGUAAGGCAACUCCAUAGUGAAGUUGUGAAGGACCAGCCGGAAGCGUCCAAGCCACCAAGGAAGGAGAGAGGAAGGUCGAGGGAUGUUGUGUCUGACAUGGAAGCCAGGCUAGCCAAGGUAGAGCUAACUGUGGCCGAGGGACAAGAUACGUUCUGGGAUUUAGAGCAACGCAUCGG